AGUUCGGAUUGAAGGCUGAAAUUCGCCUUCAUGAAGCCGGAAUUGCUAGUAAUGGCAGGUCAGCAUACUGCCGUGAAUACGUUCCCGGGCCUUGUACACACCGCCCGUCACACCAUGAGAGUUGGGAAUACCCGAAGCCUGUGAGCUAACGAAAGAGGCAGCAGUCGAAGGUAGAAUCAAUGAUUGGGGUGAAGUCGUAACAAGGUACC
rnacentral:rRNA from 1 species